GACGAACGCUGGCGGCGUGCUUAACACAUGCAAGUCGAACGAUGAAGCUGGAGCUUGCUCCGGUGGAUUAGUGGCGAACGGGUGAGUAACACGUGAGCAAUCUGCCCUUGACUCUGGGAUAACUGCGGGAAACUGUAGCUAAUACCGGAUACUUUCCUUGGUGGGCAUCCACUGGGGAAGAAAGAAUUUCGGUCAAGGAUGAGCUCGCGGCCUAUCAGCUAGUUGGUGAGGUAAUGGCUCACCAAGGCGACGACGGGUAGCCGGCCUGAGAGGGUGACCGGCCACACUGGAACUGAGACACGGUCCAGACUCCUACGGGAGGCAGCAGUGGGGAAUAUUGCACAAUGGGCGAAAGCCUGAUGCAGCAACGCCGCGUGGGGGACGAAGGCCUUCGGGUUGUAAACCUCUUUUAGCAGGGAAGAAGCGAAAGUGACGGUACCUGCAGAAAAAGCACCGGCUAACUACGUGCCAGCAGCCGCCGUAA
rnacentral:rRNA from 1 species